rnacentral:rRNA from 1 species
GACGAACGCUGGCGGCGUGCUUAACACAUGCAAGUCGAGCGGUAAGGCCCUUUCGGGGGUACACGAGCGGCGAACGGGUGAGUAACACGUGGGUGACCUGCCCUCAGCUCUGGGAUAAGCCUGGGAAACCGGGUCUAAUACUGGAUAUGACUCCAUGACGCAUGUUGUGGGGUGGAAAGCCUUGUGCGGCUGAGGAUGGGCCCGCGGCCUAUCAGCUUGUUGGUGGGGUGANGGCCUACCAAGGCGACGACGGGUAGCCGGCCUGAGAGGGCGACCGGCCACACUGGGACUGAGACACGGCCCAGACUCCUACGGGAGGGCAGCAGUGGGGAAUAUUGGACAAUGGGGGAAACCCUGAUCCAGCGACGCCGCGUGGGUGAAGAAGGCCUGC